CAGCUCUACAGAGCUGAAUGACUGAUGAGGGAAUUCAGACCUUUGAUUCAGGUCUGAUGGAGAAGAGAUGUGACUGAAAGCUGCAGCAUAGCAGCUCUGGAGGAGUGGAGCUGGAAAGCCCUGAUCUAUAGAAGGACAAUGCUGCUGGAGACAAACUAGAUCUAGAAUAGAACAGUGGCAAAGAUGUGGUGGUCACCAGUUGCACUGGUCUCUGGGAUGAUGGUGAGAAGAUAAAGAUGAUGCUUGGAGGGACUAAUUGAUUUCAGAGCAGUUUGAAGCAGAGGAAAGGACUGAUUUAGGGAUGUGGAUUGUGAAUGGCGCCGACUGUUAGAACCCGCUUUCAGCUGUGAGUUGAUCUAGUUCUAGAUGUUCCUCAGUUAGUUUUCAGCCCUAGUUUAAGGGAAAGAACCCUGUGCAGAAAUAUUCUCCAUGUGAUCUGUGCCAGUUCUGACCGCAGUGGAUCUCUUCUUUGUUUGUGAAUCCCAUGUCGGACCGAGCCGCUACAAGCUUUGGGCCGUCAGAAAACGCUGAAGAGAUCUACGGCGACCAAACCGGAGGAGCAGUAAACAGUGAGAGCAUGUUCAGAACUGUGGACGUCCAAAAUCAGAACUGCUGUGAGGAACCGGGACAUCCAGGAUGCUGAGGAGCCUCCUAGUCCCCACCUGAGGACGGCACAGAGGAGAACACGUGCAGAGAAGCAGGUUGAAUAUGGAAGCAGCGUUCUAACAGUCGGAUCUCAGUGGAACAGAGUCCAUCCACACGUAUUUGGAGGAGCUGAAGCAGAGGAUGGAGAACACAGACCACCAAGGAGGAGAAACAUGGCUGCCCUGCUCG